GAUGGUCUUUGACGCCACAUCAAAAUGGGAAGGAUGAGCGGAGCUCAGCUGAGCUGGAAACUGUAUUCCUGUCGUUCCUCAGGAGAGUGGGAAGGCAAACCUGCAUGCACUUUCUACCACUGACCAGGGGAGAGGUGAGAGUGAGACAGCGUGCCAGAGAUCACUGUCUUAUGAAGUGUACUUCCACGGGGACUGGUGGGAUUCAAUCUGGUGUUGUCUCUUUUGGCUGCGCCUCAAAGGGUCAAGUUCUCCCCUUUUAUUAUCUUCCAAUUCUUCCUGGAGCAAAAGACAUGGAAUUUACCUUCUCUGAUGGCUUUUGAAACAAUGCUAACAACUGGAUUCCACUCGUAAUUGAAGGAAACUAGAUUGAGACCCAUCUUUAUCCAGCAAUUGAACAAAAUGGGUGAGAAAUGUCUCUCUGACCCGGAGGAAAGGAUGCGUCAUUCCGUCUGACGCCCCUGAGGGAUUACGUGUGAAACGUUCAUCAUAACACGUAUUAUCCAGUUCAAGGACAACUAAAGUUGGAAUAUUUUACCUUUUGGUUAGACUUUUUUUUUUUUUUUUUUUAUUCGGAACUCAAAAAAAAAAAAAAAUAAAACAUUGCAGAUCUAAAACAAAUAAGCUCUUGGCAAGAAAAGCAUCUUUGGGAGUUUCUUUUUCUUCCUGGAUUGGAUUUUGCGUGGCUCGUGCAAUUCUCCUUGCCAUGUCUUCAUGGAAGAGAAGAAUUCUGCAUCAUAGACAACUGCUUUCCAUUCAAAGUUACACCCAAGGACUCGCACAUGCACACUGAACACAUGCUAGGGUGAAAUGAGCCCCGUUUCUUGCACAUUUUGCUUCUUCAUCCUGGUGUUUGGUGUGUGUUCUUGGAUCUAACAGCCUAAGCGUCCUUCAAUGAUUCUGGCACCUUCCGUUCCAUCUGCGUCUGUCCUGAGAUGCCCCACCGUACACAGCAAGAGGAGGUUUGACCCCAGACCCAGCGAGGUCUCUCGGCUGCCCAGGCGUAUUUAAGAUGUUGAACCCUUCCCACGUGGCCCGAGCCCCAGAUCGGAUCAGUAGCACUGCGGCUCCCGGAGGCCCCAGACAUGGAUCGUGGCUCGGCUCGCCCCUGCCCUCAGCGCUCCACACCCCGGCCCGUGAGCAGCCUGUGAAGGAUGUCCCAGAGCGGAGCUCCAGCCCGGGAACCCUCUGAGACCCCCAGUCAGAGAGAACAGAUCCGCAGCCACAUGAAGAUGGUGAUCGGGCAGCUGGAAGGAAUCCUCAAGGAGCUGAAAGAUGUGGCACAUGAACUGCGGGAGGUAAGGUCUGCUUGCUUUCUACUGUCGAUUUGGUUUGGACUGCAGGUGACUGGUUUCUC